rnacentral:rRNA from 1 species
AGAGUUUGAUCCUGGCUCAGGACGAACGCUGGCGGCGUGCUUAACACAUGCAAGUCGAACGGGAUCUAUCCAGUAGCUUGCUACAGGGUAAAUCUAGUGGCGAACGGGUGAGUAUCACGUGGGUAACCUGCCCCGGAGACCGGGAUAAUAUGGGGAAACCUGUAUUAAUACCGGAUAUCCUGCCUUUCCCACAUGGCAUCGGCAGAAAAGGUUGUUUUUUCAUCUGCUCCGGGAUGGGCCCGCGGCCCAUUAGCUAGUCGGUGGGGUAAUGGCUCACCGAGGCGACGAUGGGUAGCCGGCCUGAGAGGGCGAACGGCCACACUGGGACUGAGAUACGGCCCAGACUCCUACGGGAGGCAGCAGUGGGGAAUAUUGCGCAAUGGGCGAAAGCCUGACGCAGCGACGCCGCGUGGACGAAGAAGGCCUUCGGGUUGUAAAGUCCUGUCAGGGGGGAAGAAGGUGCUCGCACUGACGGUACCCCCAGAGGAAGCCCCGGCCAACUACGUGCCAGCAGCCGCGGUAAAACGUAGGGGGCGAGCGUUGUCCGGAAUCAUUGGGCGUAAAGAGCACGUAGGCGGCAUGUCAAGUCGAAUGUGAAAACCCAUGGCUCAACUAUGGGACUGCAUACGAAACUGGCAGGCUAGAGUCCAGUAGAGGAAAGUGGAAUUCCCAGUGUAGCGGUGAAAUGCGCAGAUAUUGGGAAGAACACCGGUGGCGAAGGCGGCUUUCUGGACUGAGACUGACGCUGAGGUGCGAAAGCUAGGGGAGCAAACAGGAUUAGAUACCCUGGUAGUCCUAGCCGUAAACGAUGGGCACUAGGUGUGGGGAGUGUCAACUCUCCCUGUGCCGAAGUUAACGCAUUAAGUGCCCCGCCUGGGGAGUACGGUCGCAAGGCUAAAACUCAAAGGAAUUGACGGGGGCCCGCACAAGCGGCGGAGCAUGUGGCUCAAUUCGACGCAACGCGAAGAACCUUACCAGGGCUUGACAUGUACCUGAAAGUCGUGGAAACACGUCCCUCCGUAUGGACAGGUACACAGGUGGUGCAUGG